GCCAAGAGAAGUGUUUUGGUGGAGAGAGCACCCAAUAGUAGAAAAGCUUUCCAAUGGUUAGAGUGUUGUUUCCGACCUCCAUGAGUUUGAGGUAUCGUCGAGCUCUAGACGUUAAAUUAAGCACUUGUUGGGAGGUAACCCAAUUAUUUUUCUUUGUUUUAUUUUCCUUUCUUUCUGUUUCGUUUUGUUUCUCUUUGUUUCUUUGUUUAGUUUGGGGCAGGUGUUUC
rnacentral:lncRNA from 1 species